GUGGUAGGGGAGCGUUCUGUAAGCCGAUGAAGGUGUAUUGAGAAGUAUGCUGGAGGUAUCAGAAGUGCGAAUGCUGACGUGAGUAACGACAAAACGGGUGAAAAACCCGUUCGCCGAAAGACCAAGGGUUCCAGUCCAACGUUAAUCGGGGCUGGGUGAGUCGACCCCUAAGGCGAGGCCGAAAGGCGUAGUCGAUGGGAAAAUGGUUAAUAUUCCAUUACUUCUGUGUAAUGCGAUGAGAGGACGGAGAAGGCUAAAUCAGCCUGGCGUUGGUUGUCCAGGUGAAAGGAUGUAGGCAUGUAUCUUAGGCAAAUCCGGGGUACUCUAUGCUGAGAUCUGAUAGCAAGCUGUACUUGUACAGCGAAGUGGUUGAUGCCAUGCUUCCAGGAAAAGUCUCUAAGCUUCAGUUACACAGGAAUCGUACCCGAAACCGACACAGGUGGUCAGGUCGAGUAGACCAAGGCGCUUGAGAGAACUCUGCUGAAGGAACUAGGCAAAAUGGUACCGUAACUUCGGGAGAAGGUACGCUGUUGUUGGUGAUGGAACUCGCUUCCUGAGCUGACGACAGCCGCAGAAACCAGGCCGCUGCAACUGUUUAUUAAAAACAUAGCACUCUGCAAACACGAAAGUGGACGUAUAGGGUGUGAUGCCUGCCCGGUGCUGGAAGGUUAAUUGAUGGGGUUAGCGUAAGCGAAGCUCUUGAUCGAAGCCCCAGUAAACGGCGGCCGUAACUAUAACGGUCCUAAGGUAGCGAAAUUCCUUGUCGGGUAAGUUCCGACCUGCACGAAUGGCAUAAUGAUGGCGGCGCUGUCUCCAGCAGAGGCUCAGUGAAAUCGAAAUCGCUGUGAAGAUGCAGUGUACCCGCGGCUAGACGGAAAGACCCCGUGAACCUUUACUGCAGCUUGACACUGAACUUUGACCUUACUUGUGUAGGAUAGGUGGGAGGCUUUGAAGCUGGAACGCUAGUUCCAGUGGAGCCGUCCUUGAAAUACCACCCUGGUAAUGUUGAGGUUCUAACUCUGUCCCGUGAUCCGGGACGAGGACCGUGUCUGGUGGGUAGUUUGACUGGGGCGGUCUCCUCCUAAAGAGUAACGGAGGAGUACGAAGGUGCGCUCAGCGUGGUCGGAAAUCACGCGUAGAGUAUAAAGGCAAAAGCGCGCUUAACUGCGAGACCCACAAGUCGAGCAGGUACGAAAGUAGGUCUUAGUGAUCCGGUGGUUCUGUAUGGAAGGGCCAUCGCUCAACGGAUAAAAGGUACUCUGGGGAUAACAGGCUGAUACCGCCCAAGAGUUCAUAUCGACGGCGGUGUUUGGCACCUCGAUGUCGGCUCAUCUCAUCCUGGGGCUGAAGCAGGUCCCAAGGGUAUGGCUGUUCGCCAUUUAAAGAGGUACGCGAGCUGGGUUUAGAACGUCGUGAGACAGUUCGGUCCCUAUCUACCGUGGGCGCUGGAAAUUUGAGAGGAUCUGCUCCUAGUACGAGAGGACCAGAGUGGACGAACCUCUGGUGUACCGGUUGUGACGCCAGUCGCAUCGCCGGGUAGCUAUGUUCGGAAGGGAUAACCGCUGAAAGCAUCUAAGCGGGAAGCCUACCUCAAGAUAAGAUUUCCCUAGGACUUUAUGUCCUCUAAAGAGCCGUUCGAGACUAGGACGUUGAUAGGUUGGAUGUGGAAGCAUAGUGAUAUGUGAAGCUGACCAAUACUAAUUGCUCGUGAGGCUUGACU
rnacentral:rRNA from 3 species